ensembl:snoRNA
AGAGAAGCAUCUACAGUGCUUGUGAGAACAAAAUGAAAUGGUUAGAGCAUUUGCCCUAUUCAUCCAGAGCUAAGCUAUAGAAACUUCAGACAAUU